rnacentral:lncRNA from 1 species
CCUUGCUUUUCCAGCAGCCACAGCGAGCGCAGACAUCCCGGAGGACGUGGCGGACAUCCAGCAUCUCCUGGCAUGGCUCAACGACGGUGAGUUUGGGGGCAGCAGAGCUGGCGGGGGGUUGCUGCCACCCACCCAGCCACCCACGCACCCCCACUGGGUGUGGGAAAGAAAGCUGGCAUUGCCCCACUGGGCAUUUUCUGCCUUUUCCAGAAGUGACAUCCAAGACAGGCAUCCUGGACGACGACGCAGACAUCGAUGACCUGCUCACGUGGAUCAACAACGAAGAGACACCCAGCACCCACAGACUUGACAACGAUGAUGUGGAAAUGGACCGUUUGCUCACCUGGAUUGACGGUGAGACUGUGCUCCGCAGAGGUGACCCCCAGAGGUGGCUGCCUGCACCGAGUGGCUGUGGGAAGGCUGCCAUCAUCGUUCGGGGGGAUGUUCUUGCUUUUUCAGAAGCGGCUCUGGAG